rnacentral:rRNA from 1 species
CCUACGGGAGGCAGCAGUGAGGAAUAUUGGUCAAUGGCCGGAAGGCUGAACCAGCCAAGCCGCGUGAAGGAAGAAGGAACUAUGGUUUGUAAACUUCUUUUAUCGGGGAAUAAAGGUAUCCACGUGUGGAUGUUUGCAUGUACCCUAUGAAUAAGCAUCGGCUAACUCCGUGCCAGCAGCCGCGGUAAUACGGAGGAUGCGAGCGUUAUCCGGAUUUAUUGGGUUUAAAGGGUGCGUAGGUGGUUUUUUAAGUCAGCGGUUAAAGUUGGUGGCUCAACCAUAAAAUUGCCGUUGAAACUGGAAGACUUGAGUGUGUUUGAGGUAGGCGGAAUGCGUGGUGUAGCGGUGAAAUGCAUAGAUAUCACGCAGAACUCCGAUUGCGAAGGCAGCUUACCAAGCCAUAACUGACACUGAAGCACGAAAGCGUGGGGAUCAAACAGGAUUAGAUACCCGAGUAGUC